rnacentral:rRNA from 1 species
UUUGUUGGCGGGGUAACGGCCCACCAAGACUACGAUGGAUAGGGGUUCUGAGAGGAAGGUCCCCCACAUUGGAACUGAGACACGGUCCAAACUCCUACGGGAGGCAGCAGUGAGGAAUAUUGGUCAAUGGGCGAGAGCCUGAACCAGCCAAGUAGCGUGAAGGAUGAAGGCUCUAUGGGUCGUAAACUUCUUUUAUAUGGGAAUAAAGUUUUCCACGUGUGGAAUUUUGUAUGUACCAUAUGAAUAAGGAUCGGCUAACUCCGUGCCAGCAGCCGCGGUAAUACGGAGGAUCCGAGCGUUAUCCGGAUUUAUUGGGUUUAAAGGGAGCGUAGGUGGAUUGUUAAGUCAGUUGUGAAAGUUUGCGGCUCAACCGUAAAAUUGCAGUUGAAACUGGCAGUCUUGAGUACAGUAGAGGUGGGCGGAAUUCGUGGUGUAGCGGUGAAAUGCUUAGAUAUCACGAAGAACUCCGAUUGCGAAGGCAGCUCACUAGACUGUCACUGACACUGAUGCUCGAAAGUGUGGGUAUCAAACAGGAUUAGAUACCC